CGGGGUGCAGCAGGCGCGAAAACUUUACAAUGCUGGCAACAGCGAUAAGGGGACCUCGAGUGCCAGGAUACAAUCUUGGCUGUCGUGAUGCCUAAAAAGCAUUGCAUAGCAAGGGCCGGGCAAGACCGGUGCCAGCCGCCGCGGUAACACCGGCGGCUCGAGUGGUAACCGCUAUUAUUGGGUCUAAAGGGUCUGUAGCCGGCCGGAUAAGUCUCUUGGGAAAUCCGACAGCUCAACUGUCGGGCUUUCAGGGGAUACUGUUCGGCUCGAGGCCGGGAGAGGUGAGAGGUACUUCAGGGGUAGGGGUGAAAUCUUGUAAUCCUUGAAGGACCACCAGUGGCGAAGGCGUCUCACCAGAACGGUCCUGACGGCAAGGGACGAAAGCUAGGGGCACGAACCGGAUUAGAUACCCGGGUAGUCCUAGCCGUAAACGAUACUCGCUAGGUGUCGGCCACGGUGCGACCGUGGUCGGUGCCGUAGGGAAGCCGUGAAGCGAGCCACCUGGGAAGUACGGCCGCAAGGCUGAAACUUAAAGGAAUGGCGGGGGAGCACAAGGGCGAUUCGCG
rnacentral:rRNA from 1 species